rnacentral:lncRNA from 7 species
GAAAUCUCCAGAAUUAUUAUGAUUUCACUGAUGACAUGUCCAAAUGAAGCUACCUCCCUUCAAGUUAGAACUCUAGACUACAGCUUCUUUGCUGCCUCUUUCUUCAGUAAUUGCUGUUUAUCUCAUAUAAUGUAAGAAGCAUAUGUUCCACAGGUCUGAUGAAAAGCCAUGGUAAGAGUAUGUUAUGCAGCUGAGAGUCAGCAGAAAAGACCGGGGACAAGUAAUCUUCUUUGCCUUAUACUGCAGGACUUUCUCAUUUUUAAGUUCAUAAAAAAUUGCAUCCAGUAAAAUCUGGCUGUAGAAUUAUAACAGCUUUAAUAAAUCAGUCUUUAUCAUAGCAAAAAGCAGUCUUUUAAACCCUGCAGGAUUAAACUUCACAUCUCUUCCAAACACCUUGUCCUAACUACCAUGUCUGGAAUAGCUUAAUAAUAUGGAGAAACAAGGCUAUAUAGCAUAUUAGCUGAUACACAUAUGAACAAGAGGGAGCUUAAAGCCAGCUCCGCGCUCUUUCCAGAAACAGAGAUGCAGACCUCAUGAUGUCAGCUCCUUGGACUUAAACAUUCCCUCUCUGAUGCAUUAUACACACUGAUAUGCUAAAUCAUUCGCUUUUAUCCAUGUUCUCCAAAUGGGAAUAUUCCCAAAUAAUUCAUGACAAGGAUGUAUUUUUUUUUGUCUUCCUCAAGAAAUUGCAUUCCCUACACUUUAAUUAGGGAAAUAAAUCUUUCUCUGAAUAUGUAUUUAUGUAUAUUUUGGAUGUAUUUUUAUUUAGUCAUUGUGUGCAAAGCUUGUGAAAGUAGGGAAAAAUUCCCCAUCUUACAUUAUCACCACCUUGUCAAUAGAGACUUGAUAGGCACAAUCCUGGUGUACAUAAUGAAGCUGUAGACAGGCAAGGAGGAAAAUGAUGGGCCUUUUUUUCUGUGCAAAGGGACAGCUAAGCUGCUAUCCUGACUCUUCACUUCAGCCUCACUGUCUUUUAAGGGUUAUAGGUGCUGGACAUGCCUUGUUCAUUUUUCAUCUUAAGUCUAGAGACUUGUGUUCCCAUAGUGCUGCUGAAUCCUUUCUGAAUAGGGUGUCCCAAAUACAUUGGCAAAUCCACUAUGAUUUUUCUGGUUAUUAUGUGUCAUAGAAGGAAAUGCUAUUAGACUAUCAAAAUAAUACAAUUCUGUGCAAUUCCUACAACAAACAUUUUACCUUUAGUGACUCUCUGAUCAGGAUAUAGGAACUAGUUAU